UUUGCAUUUUUCUUUCUUUUUUUUUUUUUCCUUUUUCCAAGACUUCUUCUGUUGUGCC
rnacentral:ribozyme from 14 species